GACGAACGCUGGCGGCGUGCUUAACACAUGCAAGUCGAACGGAAAGGCCCUGCUUUUGUGGGGUGCUCGAGUGGCGAACGGGUGAGUAACACGUGAGUAACCUGCCCUUGACUUUGGGAUAACUUCAGGAAACUGGGGCUAAUACCGGAUAGGAGCUCCUGCUGCAUGGUGGGGGUUGGAAAGUUUCGGCGGUUGGGGAUGGACUCGCGGCUUAUCAGCUUGUUGGUGGGGUAGUGGCUUACCAAGGCUUUGACGGGUAGCCGGCCUGAGAGGGUGACCGGCCACAUUGGGACUGAGAUACGGCCCAGACUCCUACGGGAGGCAGCAGUGGGGAAGAUUGCACAAUGGGCGGAAGCCUGAUGCAGCAACGCCGCGUGCGGGAUGACGGCCUGCGGGUUGUAAACCGCUUUCGCCUGUGACGAAGCGUGAGUGACGGUAAUGGGUAAAGAAGCACCGGCUAACUACGUG
rnacentral:rRNA from 1 species